rnacentral:rRNA from 1 species
ACCCGCUGAACUUAAGCAUAUCAAUAAGCGGAGGAAAAGAAACCAACAGGGAUUGCCUCAGUAACGGCGAGUGAAGCGGCAACAGCUCAAAUUUGAAAUCUGGCUCCUUUUGGGGUCCGAGUUGUACUUUGCAGAGGGUGGUUCGGCGUCGGCUCCCGUCUAAGUUCCUUGGAACGGGACGUCAGAGAGGGUGAGAACCCCGUACGCGAUGGGCGGCCGGUCGCCGUGUGAACCCCCUUCGACGAGUCGAGUUGUUUGGGAAUGCAGCUCUAAAUGGGAGGUAUAUUUCUUCUAAAGCUAAAUACUGGCCAGAGACCGAUAGCGCACAAGUAGAGUGAUCGAAAGAUGAAAAGCACUUUGGAAAGAGAGUCAAACAGCACGUGAAAUUGUUGAAAGGGAAGCGCUUGCAGCCAGACUUGGCUGCCGUCGUUCAUCGGGGGCCCGUCCCCCGUGCACUCGACGGCAGGCAGGCCAGCAUCAGUUGGGGCGGCUGGAGAAAGGCCCUGGGAAUGUAGCUCCCUCCGGGGAGUGUUAUAGCCCAGGGCGCCAUACAGCCAGUCCCGACUGAGGUCCGCGCUUCGGCUAGGAUGCUGGCGUAAUGGCCGC